rnacentral:rRNA from 1 species
GGUUAAGUGAAUAAGGGCGCACGGUGGAUGCCUUGGCACUAGGAGCCGAUGAAGGACGGGACUAACACCGAUAUGCUUUGGGGAGCUGUACGUAAGCUAUGAUCCAGAGAUUUCCGAAUGGGGGAACCCAGCAUCUUUUAUAGGAUGUUACGUUUGCGUGAAUACAUAGCGCAUUCGAGGUAGACGCAGAGAACUGAAACAUCUAAGUACCUGCAGGAAGAGAAAGAAAAUUCGAUUCCCUGAGUAGCGGCGAGCGAAACGGGAAAAGCCCAAACCAAUGAGCUUGCUCAUUGGGGUUGUAGGACUCCAAUAUGGUAGUUCUUUCAGAUAGUCGAAUGACUUGGAAAAGUCAGUCAAAGAGGGUAAAAACCCCGUAGAUGAAAUUUGGAA